AUUGAACGCUGGCGGCAGGCUUAACACAUGCAAGUCGAGCGGGGUGAUGGUGCUUGCACUAUCACUUAGCGGCGGACGGGUGAGUAAUGCUUAGGAAUCUGCCUAUUAGUGGGGGACAACAUCUCGAAAGGGAUGCUAAUACCGCAUACGUCCUACGGGAGAAAGCAGGGGAUCACUUGUGACCUUGCGCUAAUAGAUGAGCCUAAGUCGGAUUAGCUAGUUGGUGGGGUAAAGGCCUACCAAGGCGACGAUCUGUAGCGGGUCUGAGAGGUUGAUCCGCCACACUGGGACUAAGACACGGACCAGAAUCCUACGGGAGGCAGCAGUGGGGAAUAUUGGACAAUGGGGGGAACCCUGAUCCAGCCAUGCCGCGUGUGUGAAGAAGGCCUUAUGGUUGUAAAGCACUUUAAGCGAGGAGGAGGCUCUUUUGGUUAAUACCCAAGAUGAGUGGACGUUACUCGCAGAAUAAGCACCGGCUAACUCUGUGCCAGCAGCCGCCGCCG
rnacentral:rRNA from 1 species